rnacentral:tRNA from 1 species
AGUAGAGUCAGCUAAUUAAGCUUUUGGGCCCAUACCCCAAAAAUGUUGGUUUAAGCCCCUCCCCUACUA